rnacentral:rRNA from 1 species
GAUGAACGCUAGCGAUAGGCUUAACACAUGCAAGUCGCGGGGCAGCACAAGGUAGCUUGCUAUCUGGGUGGCGACCGGCGCACGGGUGCGUAACGCGUAUGCAACUUGCCCUAUACAGGAGGAUAACCCGUCGAAAGACGGACUAAUACUGCGUAUGCUCACAACUUGGCAUCAAGUGGUGAGGAAAGAAAUUCGGUAUAGGAUAGGCAUGCGUCCCAUUAGCUUGUUGGUGAGGUAACGGCUCACCAAGGCAACGAUGGGUAGGGGAACUGAGAGGUUUAUCCCCCCCACUUGGACUGAGGCACCGACCAAGAUCCUUCGGGGGGGAGGAAUGGAGGAUAUUGGGCAAUUGGCGCCAACCCGAACCAGGCAAGUCGGGUGAAGGAAGACUGUCUUAAGGAUUGUAAACUUCUUUUAUACGGGGAUAACAAGAGGCACGUGUGACUCCCUGCAUGGACCGGAUGAAUAAACCACGGCUAACUCCGUG